rnacentral:rRNA from 1 species
AGUGGCAGACGGGUGAGUAAUGUGUAGGAAUCUACCUAGUAGUACGGAAUAAUUGUUGGAAACGGCAACUAAUACCGUAUACGCCCUACGGGGGAAAAAUUUAUUGCUAUUAGAUGAGCCUAUAUUAGAUUAGUUAGUUGGUGAGGUAAAGGCUUACCAAGACAAUGAUCUAUAGCUGAUUUGAGAGGAUGAUCAGCCACACUGGAACUGAGAUACGGUCCAGACUCCUACGGGAGGCAGCAGUGGGGAAUAUUGGACAAUGGGCGAAAGCCUGAUCCAGCUAUGCCGCAUGAGUGAAGAAGGCCUUCGGGUUGUAAAGUUCUUUUAGUGAGGAAGAUAAUGACGGUACUCACAGAAGAAGUCCUGGCUAACUCCGUGCCAGCAGCCGCGGUAAUACGGAGAGGGCUAGCGUUAUUCGGAAUUAUUGGGCGUAAAGGGCGCGUAGGCGGAUUAGUAAGUUAAAAGUGAAAUCCCAAGGCUCAACCUUGGAAUUGCUUUUAAAACUGCUAAUCUAGAGAUUGAAAGAGGAUAGAGGAAUUCCUAGUGUAGAGGUGAAAUUCGUAAAUAUUANGAGGAACACCAGUGGCGAANGCGUCUAUCUGGUUCAAAUCUGACGCUGAGGCGCGANG